ACAAGCUUUAUGAGGAUUCACUUUGGGCUCUGGGUAAUUGUGACAGCAUUUUUCACCAUUUUUUUAAGUUUUACAAAGCAAACAAUCAAUCAACUAAUGUAGAAAAUAAUCAGCACAUAUAUCCAUAAUGAAAAUAAUCAUUAGUCCAAUACAAAAUAAUAAAAAAUGAUCUCCACCUCAACCAACCACAACGGUAAAAUGCUGUUUUUAAAUUUAUGCUUGAGUAAUAAUAAUCUAAUGAUAUAGAGACCCGGCCCAUUAAUUUGUGUCCUUUAUAUUGGACAUUUUGUUCACCUGUAUCUUCCUUAAGUAUUUGAAGUUACCCUAUCAAGCCCUAUAUUAUUCUGUAGAGGACAUCCUGGGCUUUCCAAUGAUGUGUCAUGUGAUGGGUUUGCAUGCUGGGAACUUUACUUUUUUUCUCUAUCAAGAUGGCCGCCAUACCAGCAACCACAUUUUAUGGAAAGAGGAGAGCUACAAACUACAGGAGUGUCACUGAAUACUACUGCCCAAGAAAUCAAGAUUUUCUUCUGCAAUGGCAAGACAUACACCAAAUGCAAAAUGUUCCUCUGCAUCACCAAAAACAAAACAUGCUUCCAGGAUUAUCACCGCUAAAAUAUCCAGAGGAAGAAGAAUGAAGAAUGUUCUGUCUUAUAGUUCACUGUUUUUUUUUUGUCCUUGCAAGCAACAAGCAACAGAUUUGUAUGUUCUAAACUCAGCUCUAUUUUCACACGGAAAUCGUCCUGUUGUCCUCUACAGUGGACAUGCUGUGAAAUUAAAAUUAAAAAUAUGUUCAAAAAGA